GACGAACGCUGGCGGCGUGCUUAACACAUGCAAGUCGAACGGAAAGGCCCUGCUUUUGUGGGGUGCUCGAGUGGCGAACGGGUGAGUAACACGUGAGUAACCUGCCCUUGACUUUGGGAUAACUUCAGGAAACUGGGGCUAAUACCGGAUAGGAUCUCCUGCUGCAUGGUGGGGGUUGGAAAGUUUCGGCGGUUGGGGAUGGACUCGCGGCUUAUCAGCUUUUUUGUGGGGUAGUGGCUUACCAAGGCUUUGACGGGUAGCCGGCCUGAGAGGGUGACCGGCGACAUGGGGACUGAGAUACGGCACAGAAUACUACGGGAGGCAGCAGUGGGGAAUAUUGCACAAUGGGCGGAAGCCUGAUGCAGCAACGCCGCGUGCGGGAUGACGGCCUUCGGGUUGUAAACCGCUUUCGCCUGUGACGAAGCGUGAGUGACGGUAAUGGGUAAAGAAGCACCGGCUAACUACGUG
rnacentral:rRNA from 1 species